rnacentral:lncRNA from 1 species
GAGUUCAUUUCAAAACUAAAAACAAUGCAAAAGAAAACCAUCUAGUAAAAAUAAAAUGUGAUGCAUGGUGCUUUUGUUUAGCCUUGCUACCCCGAAUCUUUCCAGGCGCUAGUGGUUCUGAUUGACCAAUUGCUGAGGCGUUCUCCUCGGUUCACAACUUGUGUAGAAGGGCCUUCCUCCCCUUCCUGAUUGAAAGGAGUUUAGGACUCAGGGAGUCCAGUCCAUAUACAUGAGCAACAAUGUCAAGUUUUGCCAUAUUUUCUAAACCAUAAUUCAACAUACAAGGGGACUAGGGAUGGGGAUUUCAUGUAAGAACAUAGAUAGUGAAAUUAACUUGCAGAGAAUUACAGUACAGAAAUAGUAAUGCAUAAACACAUAAGGGAGAGGCAAAAAUCAAAUGAAAAAGACAAACCAGUUGCAAGAAAGUAAGAAAAGAGAAACAGGAUUCUUUCAAGCAAAGCCACAGUCAGAGAAGAUAACUUUGAGCUUAUGAGUUCAGAGAACUCGAAUUCUUUUAAAAAUCUAAGUGUAUUUGAGAGAAGAAACAGUGAUUUGUUUGUUUUUCGUUUUUUUAAGAGGAGACGUACAUGUAUUUAUUGCCUUUUGAAAAUGAGUAAAAGUGAGGUAAUAAGCCACAUACAUGGAAACAAUCACUAAUCAGAAUCAAUUACACAAGUGAUUGCCCUUAAUUAAGGGAUCACCUGUUAAGGGGCAGUGAUAGGUUGAAAAAUAAGGAAAGAAAUCAAUUUAAGAGACAGACUAAUUAUUUCCAUAAAAGAAGCAGCAAAAUAAUUGAGCAUGUGAUUAAGGCCAAGUACAGGAACAUACUUAUAUUGGGAAAGGAUUCAACCAGGUAAAUAUUACAGGAAAGGAAAGGAAUCAAUUAGUUCUAAACAUGCGAGUGAAAUCAGAAUCUCUCAAAGGAAAAAGUUUGAAAUCAGUCAUAGAUUUUAAGAUCCAUCAAAGAAGGAAACCUCGGUAUAUAAAUAGAGUGCACAAAACUAGACAUGUGAGGCCAAACUAAUGGCAAAAAGGAAGUAGCAUACAGUAGUGGCACAAAAGAAAAUACUUGCAGAAUGAGAGUCAUAUAGUUCAAGUUUCAGUGACUUAGUAGUAGAGAAAGGAUAAAGUAUUUAGAAGCAUGCAAAGAGCCAAGUGAAAAAACCCUCUUGAAAAACAUAGUCGAGUUUGACAGAUAGUACGAAAGCAGAGUCAAAAGAAUCACACAAAAAGACGUUGAAACCUUCAAAUAAAGUAGAACAGUUUCAAAUAGGAUAAUUUCACAAGAAAACUUCAGGAACUUGAAUAAACCCCAAAGAAACUAGGGUUUUUCGAAAUCAAUCGAGUUUAGAGGCGACAAACAAGCAAACCAAACAAACAGUCUCACAAGCUGAAAUAAACCCCCAAAGUUAGGGUUUUCAACACAAAUAAGGUAUAAACGAAGUAAAUCAAACGAAUAUUAACAAAUAGACUUAGAAACUCAAACAAAUACCCAAAAAAUUAGGGUUUUCAACACCAAUCACACAUAGAGAUGAUAAGCAAAUGAAUCGAACAAAAUAUUAACAAACAGACUCAGAAACUCUAGUUUGAAAUCAAAAGAUUUUUGAAAAGGAAAUUUGGAAAAAAUGCUUAAAACAUCAAAUAUAGCACAGAUCUAGACAAAUAGAUGAAGAAGGAACCUCGAAGCUUAGGUUUGAGAGGAACCCUAGAGUGAGAAAGGCUUUGAAAAGGUCCGAUCUUAGUUGAUAAGGUCGAAAUAAGACUCAGGAGGCAAGGAUACACCAGAGCAAGGCCGGAGAUGGUUGGAAACCUCAAAUCGGCGAAGGCGGGUGUGAAGACCCUCGAAGUCUGGCCUCGAACCUUCAGGCAUCAGACACAUGAGAGCAGUAUGGGGUGAGUAUAGGUAGUCCAUGGCCUGAGCAGCCAUGGAUUCUGGUGGACUUGGGGUUGAAAGUGUUAGAGGACGAUUAGUGUUUUGAGAGAGUUUGAGAGGAUAGGGGAGUUAG